rnacentral:siRNA from 1 species
ACCCUACCCGAGAUUUGCAUAUUU